rnacentral:rRNA from 1 species
ACAGAUCGUUCUAGAGUUUGAUCCUGGCUCAGGAUGAACGCUGGCGGCGUGCUUAACACAUGCAAGUCGAACGGAGCUGCUUUGAUAGAGGAUUCGUCCAAUUGAUAAGUUAGCUUAGUGGCGGACGGGUGAGUAACGCGUGAGGAACCUGCCUUGGAGUGGGGAAUAACAGUUAGAAAUGACUGCUAAUACCGCAUAAUGCAAUUGAGUCGCAUGGCUCUGAUUGCCAAAGAUUUAUCGCUCUGAGAUGGCCUCGCGUCUGAUUAGCUAGUUGGUAGGGUAACGGCCUACCAAGGCGACGAUCAGUAGCCGGACUGAGAGGUUGGCCGGCCACAUUGGGACUGAGACACGGCCCAG